UACGUAUGGUGCAAGCGUUCUCCGGAUUUACUGGGUGUAAAGGGAGCGUAGGUGGUUUGGCAAGCCAGAAGUGAAAACCCGGGGCUUAACCCCGCGGAUUGCUUUUGGAACUGUUGAACUAGAGUGCAGGAGGGGUAAGUGGAAUUCCCAGUGUAGCGGUGAAAUGCGUAGAUAUUGGGAGGAACACCGGUGGCGAAGGCGGCUUACUGGACUGUAACUGACACUGAGGCUCGAAGGCGUGGGGA
rnacentral:rRNA from 1 species